AACAUGGUCAUACCUUGCCAGAAUCCUGUAUCAUUUUGACAUUUUCAGAACCGAAUUUAUCAGAGUAGAGUUUAAGGAGUCUCUGGGAAAUUUCUGACAGAGGCGUGAGUUUGGGUUCUUUGUAAAUAUACUCUUUUCCAUCUUCAUCUUCAAAGAAUCCCUGUGACAUAAAGCACAAUUAGAGCUAUUCCCAACCAUAAACCCCAGGUUUACCACCCAGAAAGGAUUCUCAUGUUAUAAGGGUUAAAAAAAAAAAAAGGCAGGGAGAGGGGAGGAUGAUUCUAAAAUAAAAUCCUACUUAAACAGGCUUUCCAAAGAGGAAGGAAAAUGAUAAUAAUGUGAAGUUGGAGUAUAAAGAUAAAGGAAAACACACAAAACUGCAAACUCAUUCAAGAAUGCUGUCAUUAAGUAUUGAGUGAAAUGGAGGAUCAGGAACUCAAGACUGUUCUCUUGGGAUCUAAUGAUGGGAUUCAAGCCUGUUUCACAUUCCCAAGAAGCAGAGCUCAGUAAGAAAUGAUUCAGCAGCCUGCUCCAGGCAGGCCUCAGAAAUGCACACACACUCCCCUUCACUGGCCGCCCCCAUUUAUAUAGGACUUCAGGACAUAAACAGAAAAACAUUCCAGUCCAGAGCAGAUUUGGCACAAGUUAUCGUUUUGCAAUGACUGGACAGAUAUACAUACAGACUGGAAAAGGAACUUGCAAACCACACUGAGGUACCAAAGGUGGUGCUAAAAAUGUCUUAUGGAGGGAGAACUUACCGCUGCCUUAAGAAAGUAAUAAAGAAAAGACAGGAAGAAAGAAAAAAAGCAGAAAGUUUACUGCAGAGGAAGGAAACAAUAACAAUGCUGAGACAUGAAGUUACUAAGUGUGACUUCAACCCAAGUUAACCAUCUCAGAGCAAUUUAGUGUUGGCACGUGGUAGGCAUAACGCCUGCCUCACCAACAACCUCUCCCCCUUUCCUUGGAAGCUUCUACCUACUGAUCUAAUCAGCAUGACUCUAUUUCCUGGCCAGUCAUGGUUUCAUCAUCCAUGGACAUGUGACCUAAAUGGGCCAAUUAGGAUAACUUUUAGGACCUUGUACUGCAAAGCUGGCACCAAACUGUUCUCCCCGGCCCAGACAUGACAGGCAGCCAAGAGCCUGACUGGGGCUGACAUCUAUCUCAUGGCCAGCGAGGGGUCCAUAUGGCUUAGUAACAGAAUGGAGAGCUCCCCCUCCCUCCCAAAGCGACUGUAUCAUGGAUAACUCUGUUAAACACUCAUAUUGAUUGCUCUCAAUCUUUCUGGAAUUUUCUAAUGGAAGCCAAUUUACUCAACUUUUAUUGUUUAA